UGCGUUUAUCUUUGGUCGCACUGCAACAGCGUCUUCACACAGGUCUGCCUAACAAAUUGUCCAGCUGCAGCUGAUGUUCUGACUAAAACCAGGAAGGUAGAGCACCUCACCCCAGAUCUAAAGUCCCUACACUGGCUUCCUGUAGCUCAGACUGGACAACUGCUGUUUAUAAAUCACUGAACGGCUUAGCACCACGAUACAUUAAAGGUCUGCUGUUGUUUUAUCAACCCUCCAGAAACUCCAGGUCUUCUGGUUCUGGGGAAGAAGGGCAGAA